rnacentral:lncRNA from 1 species
CUCCGUAGGGAUCUGCUUCUCUGCUGGUGGAAAGAGAAGCUUCCCUAGGCAUCUCUCUCACACUCGACGCUACCGGGGCGGUUCUGGGACGGCUCCUCAGGCCGCUGCCCGCCCUCUUUUCUCCGAACGUCAGUCAUUUCCUCGAAAUCAAUCCAGGCACGCAGCUGCCCAUUAAAGUUAAUUAAGCACGCGCCCGAGACACCGACAAGAGCGUGCGCCCCGGGCAGAGCCCAGAAUGCCUCCCGGGAAGCCCCUUCCGGAAGCUCCGGCCCAGGGGGGUCACAGUCCGAUUCCGAGGGACCCAGCUGCCCACCGCUGACCUCUCCCGCCCGCCCCCACCCCGAAAUCUCCGCAAUCCUGGGAGACAGCUGCAGCCCCAGCGAGCGAGCCGAGCCCCGCGCAGCCCAGAGCAGGUGCACCUGCAGAGCCUGGCGUUGGCUUUGCGUCGAUUAAACACCUCCUCUUCGCACAAACCCCGGCGCCCCUCGUCCACUGUCUGGACCCAAGGACCCCCCUCUCCGGUCGAGGAGGGGCGGACAGCAGCUCGGAACCCACAAGCCAGAGAGUGUCCGCUCGCCCGCAGAAGGCAGCCGCCACCUGCUCUCCAAGGUCCCGCUCCAGCCCCUCCGUCGCGGGUCCCUUACCUUGUGGCCUUUCCCCGGGGGACACCUGACGUUAUUGGAGGCUCCUGCUGUCUGAUUCAUGUCCGGAGGAAGUUGGGGACCGAUUCUCUACCUUCGAAACUUCCUUGGCGCGUUGAGGGUGACAAAGGUGCGCGUCUCCUGGAGGCGAGGUGGGUCCUCCCGCUGCAGCCAAGCCCGGGCGACGUCCCCCCGCGACAGGUUUCCGCGGGGCCCCUGGUCCAGGGAUGCUUAGCCCUGCAGCCCGAGCCGGAGAAAGAGAAGCAGCUGCUGGGACCCCGGAGGGAGCCGGGCCGGCGCCGGCGGCUCCGAGGGCGCUCUGCCCAGGGCUGCCUUCCCGGGAAACAGUCCAGGACUCUCAAGACCAGAAGCGCGAGCAAAUCCGAAAAGAGCUCCGAGGAGGGGCGAGGAGGCAGAAGGCCCAAAUACAGUAAAUCAAGAAAAUGCUGAGAGUAUCUUGUGUCUGGCAAGGUUUUUAACCAGUACACAGUGGCGCCUCCACUGAGACUGCAGAGGGAUGGCAGAAGACGGAAAUUCCAUGAGCCAGAACAGCUGCCAAGAGCUUCACUCAGGCCCCAGUGAGAGACCACCAGGAACCCUAAGCUACCACAGGCCUUUUUCUGCCACUGCAGUAUCUUCGUGCUGAGGGCGAACGGUAAUGUUAUGAUUUUCUUUAUUAUUACGGAAAUGAAUUUAUCACCUCUGUAGUUGUAUAAUGGUCAUCACAAUCCAGUUUCACAGGAUUUCCAUCCCACAGCCCAAGCACAUCCCCCACCCCCCAAACUGUCUCCUCCGGAGACCAAAAGUUUUUCAAUGUCUGUGAGUCAGCAUCUGUUCUGCAAAGAAGUUCCGUCUGUCCUUUUUUCAGUUAAAG